ACUGUGAGCCCCAAGUGGAAGAGGAACCAUGUGCAAUCUGCUUAUAUUGUAUUUGCCCCAGUGCUUGGAACAUAAGUGCAGUUAUGAUUACUUUCAACAGUAUUUACAAAGAAAAAUGUGAUAACGGAUAUCGGAGACCACUUCCCAGGACAAGGGAGAAUGCCCAUUCCUCAAUAGAACCAACAUACAUAUAUAUAUAAUAUGUAUUACGGAUUAUACAACUAUACUCAGAGAAGAAAUAAAGGGAGAGUUCUCCACUGAA